UAGCAAUACAUCAGCGGCAGACGGGAGAGUAACACGUGGGAACGCGCCCUUCGGUUCGGAAUAACUCAGGGAAACUUGAGCUAAUACCGGAUACGCCCUAACGGGGAAAGAUUUAUUGCCGAAGGAACGGCCCGCGUCGGAUUAGCUAGUUGGUGAGGUAAUGGCUCACCAAGGCGACGAUCCGUAGCUGGUCUGAGAGGAUGACCAGCCUCACUGGGACUGAGACACGGCCCAGACUCCUACGGGAGGCAGCAGUGGGGAAUAUUGGACAAUGGGCGCAAGCCUGAUCCAGCCAUGCCGCGUGGGUGAUGAAGGCCCUAGGGUUGUAAAGCCCUUUCGGCGGGGAAGAUAAUGACGGUACCCGCAGAAGAAGCCCCGGCUAACUUCGUGCCAGCAGCCGCGGUAAUACGAAGGGGGCUAGCGUUGCUCGGAAUUACUGGGCGUAAAGCGCACGUAGGCGGUUUCUUAAGUCGGGGGUGAAAUCCUGGAGCUCAACUCCAGAACUGCCUUCGAUACUGGGAAACUUGAGUUCGGGAGAGGUGAGUGGAACUGCGAGUGUAGAGGUGAAAUUCGUAGAUAUUCGCAAGAACACCAGUGGCGAAGGCGGCUCACUGGCCCGAUACUGACGCU
rnacentral:rRNA from 1 species